UACGUAGGUGGCGAGCGUUAUCCGGAAUGAUUGGGCGUAAAGGGUGCGUAGGCGGGCUGUUAAGUCAGCGGUCAAAUGUCGGGGCUCAACCCCGUCGUGCCGUUGAAACUGAUGUUCUUGAGUGGGCGAGAAGUAUGCGGAAUGCGUGGUGUAGCGGUGAAAUGCAUAGAUAUCACGCAGAACCCCGAUUGCGAAGGCAGCAUACCGGCGCCCGACUGACGCUGAGGCACGAAAGUGCGGGUAUCGAACAGG
rnacentral:rRNA from 1 species